AAAACACAUACCUACUGAUGUAUAAUAAUAUAUUUUAGUGAUAAUUAUUGGCGCCAUAGGAGGAGUAUUAACCAUCGUAAUAGUAGCUUUAUUGUUGUUGGCAUUGAGAAAGAGGAUACAACAUAAAGCUGCGGAACAACCUCCUCUUGACAAGUUAUCUAACUCGGGAAGGUCAUUUUCUGAAGGGAAUGAUGAUAAUCAUGUUUAUGCUAAUGAGAAAUCCCCUCAACAAACUAUGGGCUUGGCUAAUGCAGAAAACGUAAUUUACUUGAAUUAUAAGGAAAACUCUGUAGUAUUCAGUAGACCAACUGACCAAUCAUCUAACACAAAUCUAAAAGGAAUUCAAAAUCAGCAAGAUAACAUUAAACCUUCACAACUACAGAGUAAUCAUGACACAAGUGUUUAUUGCAACUACACUUCAAAUAUAGCUGGAAGCAAUCAUACAUCAGGCGGAGAAAUAACUAACAAUGAUGCAGCUCAAACAGAAGUUGAGUAUGAAUAUACAGACAGAGUCAUGCGGAAGAACGACAAUGUGUAUAAUGAGACAAAAGAUGGUGUGUAUGAUGUAGGUAGUCAUGUCAGAGUAGAAAAAAGAAAUGAAGAUACCUAUGAUCAUUUUUUCGGAAAUACUACAGAGGAUGAUUAUGAUAUUUCCCGUAUUAAAAAGACACAUUAAUACUA